GCCGCCUUAGCUCUGUUGGUAGAGCAACACUUUUGUACAGUGAAGGUCCCCAGUCCGAGUCUGGGAGGCGGCU
rnacentral:tRNA from 1 species